UACGGGGGGGCAAGCGUUGUUCGGAAUUACUGGGCGUAAAGGGCUCGUAGGUGGCCAACUAAGUCAGACGUGAAAUCCCUCGGCUUAACCGGGAACUGCGUCUGAUACUGGAUGGCUUGAGGUUGGGAGAGGGAUGCGGAAUUCCAGGUGUAGCGGUGAAAUGCGUAGAUAUCUGGAGGAACACCGGUGGCGAAGGCGGCAUCCUGGACCAAUUCUGACGCUGAGGAGCGAAAGCCAGGGGAGCAAAGCG
rnacentral:rRNA from 1 species